AGCCCUCUGGGGUGUGCGAAGCGAUUUCUGCAGCGCUCUUCCCUGAUUCAACAUCACCGGGAGUUCCAAAGUCCCGUGGCUGUCAUGCCGUAAACCGGAAGACAAAAGCGGGAACAGGGGCACCCACCUAUUCUUACAAUAGGAUAAGAGCUAGGAUUUCCGUUCCGGCACCACCGGAGGGCUU
rnacentral:other from 1 species